CCUAGGCUAUAAGAUCUCCCGUAGGUGAUAGGUCCAUCAUACUGUUAGUUUUAACGUUCUGCAAUACACUUCAUAAUAUUACAAUUAAAAUGAUUAAAACUAAAACUCAGACAUUUCUUUUAAAACUUGGUUUAAUAUUUUUGUACUUGAAUUAUACGAAUGGUUGUGUCAGUAAUAAAAAACUGUAUACUGAAAUUGGAUGUAAACCUAUUUACGGUAAUGAUUCAAAUUCUUGUCCAGUGGCAUAUGAUUGUGAUAAAGUGUUUUCAAGACCAAUUAACAAGUGUUAUCUGAAUGGAAAUGUUUACGAGCCAGUUGAUAGACUUUCUAAAACUGACUCAGCAUUGAACCCAUGUUUUGCCGCCUGCUUUUGCGAUCAGAAGACAUAUGAUAAGUAUGAUCGCAUUUAUAUUAUGUAUUUAAGUAUUUAACUAUGUCAUAUUUAU